UAUCUGUAUUCAACACCUGAGCAGCUGUGUAAAAGACUACAAGACUUCUGCAAGCGUCCACAGUUAGUCAGACAACAUGUUACUCAGGUGAACCUCAGUGCUUUCUCCUGGGACACUCUGGGGGACAGUUUCAGAUCUCUCUUGGGAGCUGAAAGUGACAGGAAGUUAACAGAGGAGCAAAUGUCAUGAUGUGACCCCAAGAAAUACAUUAUGAUUUAAAAUCCAGCCUCAUUGCGAAAGAGAGUUUAUGACCCGGAAAAACCUCUGCUAUUAUUUAAGAAAAACAUGUAUAUGUGAUUUUAAUGUUCUCAUGUGGUGGAAAAAAGCUAUUUUAUAUUUGUGGUUAAUGGAAAAAAGAACAAAGUAAAAAUAAACAAUCAAAAAACCUGAAACCGCUUUCGUGUUGUGCCUAGGCGGGCCCACCUCAUAUUUCGGUUCAUAUCCAUUUUUAUCCUUUGUGCCGGAGGACUCCAGCCUGGAAUUCUGGAGUCUUCAGUUCCCACUCCGACAGAGCGGCAGCCAAGUUGUGGCUUGAAACGUUGUGGGCUCUCGCUCCACCUGAGGUUGCCAGGUUGUGACAAAGUCUACCGAGGCUCAGUAAAAGUUGAUGCAAGGCUUCCCCAGGACUGUGGUUGAAUCUAAAUAUGGUUCUUUUAUUUUCCUUGCGUCCUAGAUCUGGCUGUACGUUGCAACCGGGAACCCACUGCUGCGUAAUUAAGGGGGCAUGGAGCAGAUGGAUGCGAUUGACCUGUUUCCACCUCAUCCGGCAAUGUCAGAUGAAUUGCCAUCUACUCCGGGCCGACCUAAGGAUGAGAAGGAGGCCCUGGCUGAAAUAACAGGAGUCUGACGACAGCCAG